UUGACUCGGGACCAGUACUUGGAGGUAAAUACAAAACAUUAAUACCGAUUACUUUUGAGAUUAGGUAGCCUUAAUUUCAUCUUCUCAUAUAUCAUGUACUUGAUUUUCUAUAGAUGAUUCCUUAUUGGUGUGCCACGCAUCCCGAGUGUUGGGAACGAAUGGUGGACAAAUGGUGCUCAGACGAGUGGGAGGAGGUGCACAACACUUGUCGGGAUCGACGUUUGAUGAUGCCAGGUGUACCACACCAUCAAGGCAGUCGCAGCCUCAGCGGAUACGCACAAGCAUGGUCGGUGUCACAUGGUGGACAGACUUGUUCCAUCUUCAAGGCAUUUGCUAUGUCCCACAAGGCCAAGGCGACGUCCGACGUCAACUAUAACCUAGAGGAUGGGCCAGAGGCGUACAGCAAUGGAACCAUCCACAGUCGCCUCAGUGAGUACACAUCGAUGGCAAGGGAGGUCCAUGGGUCUGAAUACGAUCCGAGCACCGAGGAGCUUGACGCAGAAGUUGUCAUGAGGGUUGGAGGAGGCAAGAAGCAUGGACGCUACUGGAUUUGCGACGGUGCAAUCGACUCAGCCGCUACUCCCUCUCUAUCUCAGAUUCGAGCAAGUAGCACGAGCGCGAGCCCAGCUAUACGACCUCGGCAGGACACUUCACAGCAUCGGAUACAAGCACUCCAGGUUGUUCAUGAUAUAUUCAUCGUUCAUUGAAAUAUUUCUUUUCUAUGCAUUAUUUUAACAUUUGAGUGAAAUAUUGCAGAACCAACUGGUAGAAGAGAGGAGGGAACUCCAGGCCCAACUUGAAGAAGAGAGGAGGCAACGUUUGGAGUUGGAUGCGAGGAUGAGGUCCGAGCAGCAGAGGACGGAGGACAUUCUUCGUUACAUACAGUCCGCAACGGGUGUAGCUCCACCACCUUCGCUAUUCACUCCAAAUCCACCUCCAUCUCAGUUUUCCACUCCUAAUCAAUCGGCGGCAUCGAAUGAUCCUCAUGUUUCACCAACUGAGCCUAAUUGCGUGCGUCGUUUGUGAACUUAUUUGUGAGAUAUGUAUUGUCGGUGAUAUAUUGUGAUCUUUGUGAACUUAUUUGUGAGACAUGUGGACUU